rnacentral:rRNA from 1 species
UACGAAGGGGGCUAGCGUUGUUCGGAAUUACUGGGCGUAAAGCGCGUGUAGGCGGCCAGACAGGUCCGUUGUGAAAACUCGAGGCUCAACCCUGGAAUGCCGGUGGAAACUGUCGGGCUGGAGUCCGGAAGAGGCGAGUGGAAUUCCUGGUGUAGCGGUGAAAUGCGCAGAUAUCAGGAAGAACACCCGUGGCUAAGGCGGUUCUCUAGUACGGUACUGACGCUGAGACGCGAAAGCGUGGGGAGCGAACAGG